UACGUAGGGUGCGAGCGUUAAUCGGAAUUACUGGGCGUAAAGCGUGCGUUAGGCGGUUCGUUAAGUUCGUUGUGAAAGCCCCGGGCUCAACCUGGGAAUGGCAAUGGAAACUGGCGGGCUGGAGUAUGGCAGAGGGGGGUGGAAUUCCGCGUGUAGCGGUGAAAUUCGUAGAUAUCAAGCGGAACACCGGGUGGCGAAGGCGGCCUUCUGGACAGUGACUGACGCUGGAGACGGCGAAAGCGUGGGGAGCAAACAGG
rnacentral:rRNA from 1 species